rnacentral:tRNA from 1 species
UGCCUAGUAGCCAAGUGGGAAGGCACAGGAAUUUGACUCCUGCAUUCGUUGGUUCGAAUCCAACCUAGGCAG